AGAUGUUUUGGGACUACAACUCCCAUCACCCCUGACCUGUUAGCUAGGGAUGAUGGGAGUUGUAGUCCCAACACAUCU